GCGGGCGUGAUCCAGCCCGCGCUAUCGUCCCUGCUGUGCAGGUGCGCAGGCAGCGGCUACUUCUCCUGUAAAGAGAGCAACACGGGUUCGAAUCCCGUCGCCGGCU
rnacentral:tRNA from 1 species